rnacentral:rRNA from 1 species
UACACACCGCCCCGUCACACCAUGGGAGUCGAUUGCUCCAGAAGUGGGUGCGCCAACCGCAAGGAGGCAGCCCCCCCAAGGAGUGGUUGGUAACUGGGGUG